rnacentral:ncRNA from 1 species
GCGGUACCGGUUCACGCCUCCCACACCUUCCAUGGUUCGGCCAUGCGUGUCGGGGGCGCCCGGCGACC